rnacentral:rRNA from 1 species
AAUAGAUACCCCGGUAGUCCACCCCGUAAACGUUGGGAACUAGUUGUGGGGUCCUUUCCACGGAUUCCGUGACGCAGCUAACGCAUUAAGUUCCCCGCCUGGGGAGUACGGCCGCAAGGCUAAAACUCAAAGGAAUUGACGGGGACCCGCACAAGCGGCGGAGCAUGCGGAUUAAUUCGAUGCAACGCGAAGAACCUUACCAAGGCUUGACAUACACCAGAACACCCUAGAAAUAGGGGACUCUUUGGACACUGGUGAACAGGUGGUGCAUGGUUGUCGUCAGCUCGUGUCGUGAGAUGUUGGGUUAAGUCCCGCAACGAGCGCAACCCUCGUUCUAUGUUGCCAGCACGUAAUGGUGGGAACUCAUGGGAUACUGCCGGGGUCAACUCGGAGGAAGGUGGGGAUGACGUCAAAUCAUCAUGCCCCUUAUGUCUUGGGCUUCACGCAUGCUACAAUGGCCGGUACAAAGGGCUGCAAUACCGUGAGGUGGAGCGAAUCCCAAAAAGCCGGUCCAGUUCGGAUUGAGGUCUGCAACUCGACCUCA